GACGAGGGGUCCAAGCGUUGUUCGGAAUCAUUGGGCGUAAAGCGGGUGUAGGCGGCUCUAUAAGUCAGGAGUGAAAGCCCCAAGCUUAACUUGGGAAGUGCUUUUGAUACUGCAGAGCUUGAAUGUGGGAGAGGGUAGUGGAAUUCCAGGUGUAGUGGUGAAAUACGUAGAUAUUCGCAAGAACACCAGUGGCGAAGGCGGCUCACUGGCCCGGUACUGACGCUGAGGUGCGAAAGCGUGGGGAGCAAACAGG
rnacentral:rRNA from 1 species